CAGUCGCCGCGGUAAUACGUAGGUGGCAAGCGUUGUCCGGAAUUAUUGGGCGUAAAGGGCUCGCAGGCGGUUUCUUAAGUCUGAUGUGAAAGCCCCCGGCUCAACCGGGGAGGGUCAUUGGAAACUGGGAAACUUGAGUGCAGAAGAGGAGAGUGGAAUUCCACGUGUAGCGGUGAAGUGCGUGGAGAUGUGGAGGAACACCAGUGGCGAAGGCGACUCUCUGGUCUGUAACUGACGCUGAGGAGCGAAAGCGUGGGGAGCGAACAGGAUUAGAUACCCCCGUAGUCCCUGUCUCUUAUAC
rnacentral:rRNA from 1 species